rnacentral:rRNA from 1 species
CGUAGGGUGCGAGCGUUAAUCGGAAUUACUGGGCGUAAAGCGUGCGCAGGCGGUUUUGUAAGACAGGCGUGAAAUCCCCGGGCUCAACCUGGGAACUGCGUUUGUGACUGCAAGGCUAGAGUAUGGCAGAGGGGGUGGAAUUCCACGUGUAGCAGUGAAAUGCGUAGAGAUGUGGAGGAACACCGAUGGCGAAGGCAGCCCCCUGGGCCAAUACUGACGCUCAUGCACGAAAGCGUGGGUAGCAAACAGGAUUAGAUACCCUGGUAGUCCACGCCCUAAACGAUGUCAACUAGGUGUUGGGUGGGUAAAACCAUUAAGUACCGGAGCUAACGCGUGAAGUUGACCGCCUGGGGAGUACGGCCGCAAGGUUA